GGACGAACGCUGGCGGCGUGCUUAACACAUGCAAGUCGAGCGGUAAGGCCCUUCGGGGUACACGAGCGGCGAACGGGUGAGUAACACGUGGGUGAUCUGCCUCGUACUUCGGGAUAAGCCUGGGAAACUGGGUCUAAUACCGGAUAUGACCAUUGGAUGCAUGUCUGGUGGUGGAAAGAUUUAUCGGUGCGAGAUGGGCCCGCGGCCUAUCAGCUUGUUGGUGGGGUAAUGGCCUACCAAGGCGACGACGGGUAGCCGGCCUGAGAGGGCGACCGGCCACACUGGGACUGAGACACGGCCCAGACUCCUACGGGAGGCAGCAGUGGGGAAUAUUGCACAAUGGGCGGAAGCCUGAUGCAGCGACGCCGCGUGAGGGAUGACGGCCUUCGGGUUGUAAACCUCUUUCGACUCCGACGAAGCGAAAGUGACGGUAGGGGUAGAAGAAGCACCGGCCAACUACGU
rnacentral:rRNA from 1 species